GAUGAACGCUGGCGGCAUGCCUAAUACAUGCAAGUCGAGCGAAUGGAUUAAGAGCUUGCUCUUAUGAAGUUAGCGGCGGACGGGUGAGUAACACGUGGGUAACCUGCCCAUAAGACUGGGAUAACUCCGGGAAACCGGGGCUAAUACCGGAUAACAUUUUGAACCGCAUGGUUCGAAAUUGAAAGGCGGCUUCGGCUGUCACUUAUGGAUGGACCCGCGUCGCAUUAGCUAGUUGGUGAGGUAACGGCUCACCAAGGCAACGAUGCGUAGCCGACCUGAGAGGGUGAUCGGCCUCACUGGGACUGAGACACGGCCCAGACUACUACGGGAGGCAGCAGUAGGGAAUCUUCCGCAAUGGACGAAAGUCUGACGGAGCAACGCCGCGUGAGUGAUGAAGGCUUUCGGGUCGUAAAGCUCUGUUGUUAGGGAAGAACAAGUGCUAGUUGAAUAAGCUGGCACCUUGACGGUACCUAACCAGAAAGCCACGGCUAACUACGUGCCAGCCGCCGCCGUAA
rnacentral:rRNA from 1 species